GAUUGGAAAUUAUGAGGCAUAACACUAAUUGAUCACAACCAGUUACAGAUUCCUUUGUUCCUUCUCCACUCCCACUGCUUCACUUGACUAGCCUAAA
rnacentral:sRNA from 1 species